rnacentral:rRNA from 1 species
GGGGAAUAUUGGACAAUGGGCGAAAGCCUGAUCCAGCAAUGCCGCGUGAGUGAUGAAGGCCUUCGGGUCGUAAAGCUCUGUCGGAGGGAACGAAUGUUUCUGAGGUUAACAGCCUCAGGAAGUGACGGUACCCUCAAAGGAAGCACCGGCUAACUCUGUGCCAGCAGCCGCGGUAAUACAGAGGGGGCAAGCGUUGUUCGGAAUUACUGGGCGUAAAGGGCGCGUAGGCGGCCUUCUAAGUCGAACGUGAAAUCCCCGGGCUCAACCCGGGAACUGCGUCCGAGACUGGAAGGCUCGAAUCCGGGAGAGGGAUGUGGAAUUCCAGGUGUAGCGGUGAAAUGCGUAGAUAUCUGGAGGAACAUCGGUGGCGAAGGCGGCAUCCUGGACCGGUAUUGACGCUGAGGCGCGAAAGCCAGGGGAGCAAA